rnacentral:misc_RNA from 1 species
GAUGAAGAACGCAGCGAAAUGCGAUAAGUAAUGUGAAUUGCAGAAUUCAGUGAAUCAUCGAAUCUUUGAACGCACAUUGCGCCCGCCAGCACUCUGGCGGGCAUGCCUGUUCGAGCGUCAUUUCAACCAUCAAGCCCCCAGGGGCUUGUGCUGGGGCCCUGCGGCUGCCCGCAGGCCCUGAAAACCAGUGGCGGGCUCGCUAGUCACACCGAGCGCAGUAGCACAUCUCGCUCAGGGCGUGCGGCGGGCUCCUGCCGUGAAACCCCCCACUGUAACCCCAAAGGUUGACCUCGGAUCAGGUAGGAAUACACGCUGAACUUAAGCAUAUCAAUAAGCGGAGGA